GCUCGCCGCGCCUGCGCCCUGCGGCCCGAGCGCCCCGAACCUUAGCUGCCUGGCGUGCGCCGGCGCGGGGACUUGUUCCGUCGGGCUCCGGGCUCAGGCUGGUACUUGUUCUAAAAAGUGACCCUGUGGAGUCUUGGUGUUCCACCUCAGCAUCUGCUCAGAAAGGUCAGCUGUCCUGUCAGGCUGGAGGCUGGUGGGAUGGAUCACAGUGCAGUGACCUAGCCUUGGAGGAACCCAGGACUGUGGAAGCUCCUGGAGUAUGUGCGCCACCAAAGCAUGGGUGUCCACAAAGAAAGACAAAGCACGAGGCCCAGGUCUCCUGCAGCAGAUCGGGUGGAGGAACAGGCCCGGAGGCCUGGGACGCAUGAGGACAACAGCCCACGAUGUAGCAAUUUAAACUUCAGGAUCCAGGACAAGAGAAAGGAGGCAAAAGAUAUAUUUGUGUAUAUAUAGGCUAAUUUAGAUAAUUGUACUGCAGAUUUC